GACGAACGCUGGCGGCGUGCCUAAUACAUGCAAGUCGAGCGAACUUGAUGGGAGCUUGCUCCCUGAGAGUUAGCGGCGGACGGGUGAGUAACACGUGGGUAACCUGCCUGUAAGACUGGGAUAACUCCGGGAAACCGGGGCUGAUACCGGAUAACUUUUUUCUUCGCAUGAAGGAGAAUUGAAAGAUGGCUCCGGCUAUCACUUACAGAUGGACCCGCGGCGCAUUAGCUAGUUGGUAAGGUAACGGCUUACCAAGGCGAUGAUGCAUAGCCGAGUUGGGAGACUGAUCGGCCACAAUGGAACUGAGACACGGUCCAUACUCCUACGGGAGGCAGCAGUAGGGAAUCUUCCACAAUGGGCGCAAGCCUGAUGGAGCAACACCGCGUGAGUGAAGAAGGGUUUCGGCUCGUAAAACUCUGUUGUUGAAGAAGAACGUGCAUGAGAGUAACUGUUCAUGCAGUGACGGUAUUCAACCAGAAAGUCACGGCUAACUAC
rnacentral:rRNA from 1 species